AUGAAUUUAGUACCAACUUUGGCUUUCAUUUUGGCCAUUGUACACGGUGUCCAGUGUGAGGUGCAGCUGUUGGAGUCUGGGGGCGAUCUGAGAAAGCCUGGGGGGUCUCUGAGACUCUCCUGUGCAGCCUCUGGAUUCACCUUCAGCAGCUAUUACAUGAGUUGGAUCCGUCAGGCCCCAGGGAAGGGCCUGCAGUGGGUCGCAACCAUUAGUCAUACUGGUGGUAGUACAUACUAUGCGGACUCCGUAAAGGGCCGAUUCACCAUCUCCAGAGACAACUCCAAAAACACACUCUAUCUUCAGAUGAACAGCCUGAAAGCCGAGGACACAGCCAUGUAUUACUGUGCAAGACACACAGUGAAGGGAAGUCAGUGA